rnacentral:lncRNA from 1 species
ACUUGCUUAGUAGUUUGUACACCUUUAGUCAUAUGCGGCUUGCGGCGCUUUGAGUUGAGUCAAAUCCCAGGUAUCCUAGAGUGAGAUUAUGGUCAUGCACCCAUGAUAUGAGAUUCAUGCACCCACCAAAUAAAGCCGACUCUCACACUCAGAAGUUGCGCACAACAUGCACCCUUCCGUCCACCAAAUAAGUAUGCCAAACUCUCACCCUGAGGCUUGCACAUCCUCAUACACAAUUUUACUCCUUACAUCACCACCAUGACAUCUCUCCAUUUUCCUCUUUGAGAUCCCUUUGAAACAUGUGGGCAUCAGUUAUCCAUGAAAAAAAAUGAAGGAAAAGCAAAAGGGCAU